AUGUGCAAGCCAUCGGAGAGCAAAGACCAUCUUUUGAACUGUCAUGCCAUCCCCAGCUCUCCAUUGCCUAACCGAGGGUGCAUUGCAAUUGCUGUUCUUACCUACUGUAGUGGUGGAUCAUGGGAAAAAGCUUGCUCAGAGAGCCUCAUUCUGGACGGGCCUGAUGGGGAGAGGUGGCACUCAGGUGAUGAAGAAAUACUCCACACCAUUCACCAGCCUAGCGAGAAGAAGGCUUUGUGCUCAUUUUGA
rnacentral:lncRNA from 1 species